rnacentral:rRNA from 1 species
UACGAGGGGGGCAAGCGUUGUUCGGAAUUAUUGGGCGUAAAGGGUGCGUAGGCUGUGCGGUAAGUCACCUGUGAAAUCUCCGAGCUCAACUCGGAGCCUGCAGGCGAAACUGCCGUGCUGGAGUAUGGGAGAGGUGCGUGGAAUUCCCGGUGUAGCGGUGAAAUGCGUAGAUAUCUGCAGGAACACCCGUGGCGAAGGCGGCUGGCUGGACCGCAACUGACGCUGAGGAACGAAAGCUAGGGGAGCAAACAGG